ensembl:snRNA U6 U6 spliceosomal RNA
UUGCUUGCUUUGGCAGCACAUAUACUAAAAUUGGAACGAUACAGAAAUUAGCAUGGCCCCUGUUCAAGUAUGACAAGAGAACAUACUUUAAAAAAAAAAUCUCG